rnacentral:rRNA from 2 species
GCGGAGGAAAAGAAACCAACAGGGAUUGCCUCAGUAACGGCGAGUGAAGCGGCAAAAGCUCAAAUUUGAAACCGUUCGCGGGUUGUAAUUUGUAGAGUGUCUUGUGACAUUGGCAUAAGUACCUUGGAACAGGUCGUCAUAGAGGGUGAGAAUCCCGUUGCCUACGUCGUUAUACUUGAUACUCCAAGAGUCGAGUUGUUUGGGAAUGCAGCUCUAAUUGGGUGGUAAAAUCCAUCUAAAGCUAAAUAUUGGCGAGAGACCGAUAGCGAACAAGUACAGUGAUGGAAAGAUGAAAAGAACUUUGAAAAGAGAGUGAAAAAGUACGUGAAAUUGUUGAAAGGGAAGGGUAUGCUGGGAGUCUUUGAGUUGUUGUUCAGCGGUUCUUCGGGGCCGUGUAUUCAGCCUCUCUUUGGAGCCACGGCGGUUUUUGUGCGGAUAAAGCUGUUUCCUUCGGGUUUCAUCAAUACGCAUAUUUGCCGUCCUGUCUCCGUAAUCCCAACAUACCACCCGUCUUGAACC